GAUGAACGCUGGCGGCGUGCCUAAUACAUGCAAGUCGAGCGAACAGACGAGGAGCUUGCUCCUCUGACGUUAGCGGCGGACGGGUGAGUAACACGUGGAUAACCUACCUAUAAGACUGGGAUAACUUCGGGAAACCGGAGCUAAUACCGGAUAAUAUAUUGAACCGCAUGGUUCAAUAGUGAAAGACGGUUUUGCUAUCACUUAUAGAUGGAUCCGCGCCGCAUUAGCUAGUUGGUAAGGUAACGGCUUACCAAGGCAACGAUGCGUAGCCGACCUGGGAGGGUGAUCGGCCACACUGGAACUGAGACACGGUCCAGACUCCUACGGGAGGCAGCAGUAGGGAAUCUUCCGCAAUGGGCGAAAGCCUGACGGAGCAACGCCGCGUGAGUGAUGAAGGUCUUCGGAUCGUAAAACUCUGUUAUUAGGGAAGAACAAAUGUGUAAGUAACUAUGCACGUCUUGACGGUACCUAAUCAGAAAGCCACGGCUAACUACGUG
rnacentral:rRNA from 1 species